AUGAGAAGCCCAGUUUCGCAAUUUCAUUCACAGCAGCUGCUACUUCCAGUCAUUCUAGUACUCAUCCUUGCCGCGGCGGCUGAGGGGCAGCUGCCGGCGGCUCGUCGGGGUUGCCGCGACAAGUGCGGCAACAUGAGCGUCCCCUUCCCGUUCGGCAUCGGCCCCGGCUGCUUCCGCCAUGGCUUCAAGGUUUUGUGCAACCACUCUUUUCAUCCCCCUCGCGCCUUCCUCCUUGACAAGAGAAAAUCACUUAAAUACGUGAGGCAGGAGUACUUCUCGUCUUCUUUCCUUGAGACUUGGUCGCCACCGCUGGAGCUGAUGAGCAUAUCAGUCGCAACGGGAGAGGCCAGAGCGUACGCCCUCGUCUCGUCCCUCUGCAGCAGAAAUAUCACCGGCGAUAACUUGUACAUGGUCCAGCAUAUGGAUUUCUCCGGCACGCCGUUCGGGGUGUCCGCGACCCGUAAUGUUCUCAUCGGUGUCGGCUUGGCAGUCGAGCCUGAACUGACAUACAGGCCGCUGAACCGCGGAUCCUAUACUGACUUAUCUUGUCGUGCACAAGAAGUCUGGUCCAGCCUGGACGCGACCAACGGGUCGUGCACAGGGUGGGGCUGCUGCGAGAUCCCCUUCCCGCCUCUCGGCAAGACUUUCAGAUUAUCUGUCAAGGACGACGGCUACAACCCACGGUGGAGAACCAACCCGUGCAACUACGGCAUGCUGGUGGAGAGAUCAAGGUACAACUUCUCUACUCUGGACAUGCAGGGCAACUGGACGCUACUCAAAAGGUUCUCCCGCGGUGUCCAUCUUGCGCUCGAUUUCGCCAUCGGGAACACUUCGUGUCCGGCGGAAGGACAGCCAUCGCCUCCGGACUACGCCUGCGUCAGCGGCAACAGCUCUUGUGCCAACGCAGACGCUGCGGAUACUCCUGCCUAUGUAUGCAAGUGCUGGGACAAGUACACUGGCAACCCUUACCUCCCCAAUGGAUGCCAAGAUAUUGAUGAGUGCAAGCAACCCCAAUUGUAUCCCUGCCAAAAUGGUCGGAUCUGCAAAAACAGGAUAGGAGGCUAUGACUGUCCAUGCAAAUUCGGAAUGAAGAGCGACGGCAAAGCGGGAACCUGCACACAUGUACUACUCACUACAGCAGCAAAGGCGACCAUGGGUUCCAUACUUGGUAUUCUUGUCAUGGCGGUUCUAUUUGUUGUUAUCCUUCACAAAGAAAAAAAGAAGACCAAAGAGUUCUACAAAAAGAAUGGUUGUCCUACACUAGAGAAGGCAAAUGUCAUUAAACUUUUCAAAAAGGAGGAGCUCAAGCCAAUUUUAAAGAGUAGCAACUUAAUUGGGAAAGGUUGCUUUGGUGAAGUUUACAAGGGUCUUCUUGAUAAUAAAAAUGUUGCGAUAAAGAAGCCCAUUAAUGGGAGCGUGCUAGAGAGUGAUUAGUUUGCAAAUGAAGUUAUCAUCCAAUCUCAAGUCAUCCACAAGAACAUUGUCAGGCUCAUUGGUUGUUGCCUUGAAGUUGACGCGCCCAUGCUGGUUACGAAUUUAUCUCCCAAGGUAGCUUGCAUGAUAUUCUUCACAAAGAAAAUAACAAGGUGCCUCUCAACUUGGAUACCCGUUUAAAUAUCAUUGCACAGUCAGCGGAUGGUCUAGCUUAUAUGCACUCAAAAGCAAAUAUUAAGAUUCUACAUGGUGAUGUUAAACCAGCAAAUAUACUCUUGGAUGAUAACUUUGUACCCAAGAUUUCAGACUUUGGCAUAUCUAGGCUGAUUGCAAGAGACAAGGAACACACUACAUCAAUCAUUGGCGACAUGAGUUAUAUGGAUCCGGUGUAUCUACAAGAAGGCCUGCUCACCAAAAAAAGUGAUGUUUACAGUUUCGGGGUUGUAAUCUUGGAGCUUAUUAGCAGGAGGAGGGCCAUGCAUUCUGACAAUAAUAAGUUGGUAAAGAAUUUUCUUGAAGCCCAUAAGAAACAAAAGAAAGCGACUGAGUUUUUUGACAAAGAAAUUGCGAUGACAGAAGAUUUGGAGCUUCUUGACAGUCUAGCAGGUCUGGCUGUGGAAUGCCUUAGCCUUGACGUGGAUGAAAGACCAACGAUGAUGGAGGUAGCUGAGAGGCUACUCAUACUAG
rnacentral:rRNA from 1 species